rnacentral:rRNA from 1 species
UACGAAGGGGGCUAGCGUUGUUCGGAAUUACUGGGCGUAAAGCGCACGCAGGCGGAUUGAUAAGUCGGGGGUGAAAUCCCGGGGCUCAACCUCGGAAUUGCCUUCGAUACUGUUUAUCUUGAGUCCGGGAGAGGUGAGUGGAAUUCCUAGUGUAGAGGUGAAAUUCGUAGAUAUUCGCAAGAACACCAGUGGCGAAGGCGGCUCACUGGCCCGGUACUGACGCUGAGGUGCGAAAGCGUGGGGAGCAAACAGG